UUGAACGCUGGUGGCAUGCUUAACACAUGCAAGUCGAACGGCAGCGGGUUUGUAGCAAUACAAAUGCCGGCGAGUGGCGGACGGGUGAGUAACGCGUAGGAACUUGCCUUCAAGAGGGGGACAACAGCUGGAAACGGCUGCUAAUACCGCAUAAUACCUGAGGGUUAAAGCUGGCGAAAGCUGGCGCUUGAAGAGAGGCCUGCGUUGGAUUAGCUAGUUGGUAGGGUAAAGGCCUACCAAGGCGACGAUCCAUAGCUGUUCUGAGAGGAAGAUCAGCCACACUGGAACUGAGAGACGGUCCAGACUCCUACGGGAGGCAGCAGUGGGGAAUAUUGGACAAUGGGGGAAACCCUGAUCCAGCAAUGCCAUGUGUGUGAAGAAGGCCUUCGGGUUGUAAAGCACUUUAGUCAGUGAGGAAGUUGGUUAGGUUAAGAGCUAGAUCAAUUGACGUUAGCUGAAGAAUAAGCACCGGCUAACUCUGU
rnacentral:rRNA from 1 species